CGUAGCAAUACGUCAGCGGCAGACGGGUGAGUAACGCGUGGGAACGUACCUUUUGGUUCGGAACAACACAGGGAAACUUGUGCUAAUACCGGAUAAGCCCUUACGGGGAAAGAUUUAUCGCCGAAAGAUCGGCCCGCGUCUGAUUAGCUAGUUGGUAGGGUAACGGCCUACCAAGGCGACGAUCAGUAGCUGGUCUGAGAGGAUGAUCAGCCACAUUGGGACUGAGACACGGCCCAAACUCCUACGGGAGGCAGCAGUGGGGAAUAUUGGACAAUGGGGGCAACCCUGAUCCAGCCAUGCCGCGUGAGUGAUGAAGGCCCUAGGGUUGUAAAGCUCUUUUGUGCGGGAAGAUAAUGACGGUACCGCAAGAAUAAGCCCCGGCUAACUUCGUGCCAGCAGCCGCGGUAAUACGAAGGGGGCUAGCGUUGCUCGGAAUCACUGGGCGUAAAGGGUGCGUAGGCGGGUCUUUAAGUCAGGGGUGAAAUCCUGGAGCUCAACUCCAGAACUGCCUUUGAUACUGAAGAUCUUGAGUUCGGGAGAGGUGAGUGGAACUGCGAGUGUAGAGGUGAAAUUCGUAUAU
rnacentral:rRNA from 1 species